rnacentral:rRNA from 1 species
UACGGAGGGUGCAAGCGUUACCCGGAUUCACUGGGUUUAAAGGGUGCGUAGGUGGGCAGGUAAGUCAGUGGUGAAAUCCCCAAGCUUAACUUGGGAACUGCCAUUGAUACUAUUUGUCUUGAAUACCGUGGAGGUGAGCGGAAUAUGUCAUGUAGCGGUGAAAUGCUUAGAUAUGACAUAGAACACCAAUUGCGAAGGCAGCUUGCUACGCGGAUAUUGACACUGAUGCACGAAAGCGUGGGGAUCAAACAGG